CGGUUAAGUUAGAAAGGGCGCACGGUGGAUGCCUUGGCACUAGGAGCCGAUGAAGGACGGGACGAACACCGAUAUGCUUCGGGGAGCUGUAAGCAAGCUUUGAUCCGGAGAUUUCCGAAUGGGGAAACCCACCACUCGUAAUGGAGUGGUAUCCAUAUCUGAAUACAUAGGAUAUGAGAAGGCAGACCCGGGGAACUGAAACAUCUAAGUACCCGGAGGAAGAGAAAGCAAAUGCGAUUCCCUGAGUAGCGGCGAGCGAAACGGGACCAGCCCAAACCAAGAGGCUUGCCUCUUGGGGUUGUAGGACACUCUGUACGGAGUUACAAAGGAACGAGGUAGAUGAAGAGGUCUGGAAAGGCCCGCCAUAGGAGGUAACAGCCCUGUAGUCAAAACUUCGUUCUCUCCUGAGUGGAUCCUGAGUACGGCGGAACACGUGAAAUUCCGUCGGAAUCCGGGAGGACCAUCUCCCAAGGCUAAAUACUCCCUAGUGACCGAUAGUGAACCAGUACCGUGAGGGAAAGGUGAAAAGCACCCCGGAAGGGGAGUGAAAGAGAUCCUGAAACCGUGUGCCUACAAGUAGUCAGAGCCCGUUAACGGGUGAUGGCGUGCCUUUUGUAGAAUGAACCGGCGAGUUACGAUCCCGUGCAAGGUUAAGCAGAAGAUGCGGAGCCGCAGCGAAAGCGAGUCUGAAUAGGGCGAAUUGAGUACGUGGUCGUAGACCCGAAACCAGGUGAUCUACCCAUGUCCAGGGUGAAGUUCAGGUAACACUGAAUGGAGGCCCGAACCCACGCACGUUGAAAAGUGCGGGGAUGAGGUGUGGGUAGGGGUGAAAUGCCAAUCGAACCUGGAGAUAGCUGGUUCUCUCCGAAAUAGCUUUAGGGCUAGCCUCAAGGUAAGAGUCUCGGAGGUAGAGCACUGAUUGGACUAGGGGCCCCUACCGGGUUACCGAAUUCAGUCAAACUCCGAAUGCCGAUGACUUAUCCUUGGGAGUCAGACUGCGAGUGAUAAGAUCCGUAGUCGAAAGGGAAACAGCCCAGACCGCCAGCUAAGGUCCCAAAGUAUACGUUAAGUGGAAAAGGAUGUGGAGUUGCUUAGACAACCAGGAUGUUGGCUUAGAAGCAGCCACCAUUUAAAGAGUGCGUAAUAGCUCACUGGUCGAGUGACUCUGCGCCGAAAAUGUACCGGGGCUAAACGUAUCACCGAAGCUGCGGACUGUUCUUCGAACAGUGGUAGGAGAGCGUUCUAAGGGCUGUGAAGCAAGACCGGAAGGACUUGUGGAGCGCUUAGAAGUGAGAAUGCCGGUAUGAGUAGCGAAAGAGGGGUGAGAAUCCCCUCCACCGAAUGCCUAAGGUUUCCUGAGGAAGGCUCGUCCGCUCAGGGUUAGUCGGGACCUAAGCCGAGGCCGAAAGGCGUAGGCGAUGGAUAACAGGUUGAUAUUCCUGUACCACCUCCUCACCAUUUGAGCAAUGGGGGGACGCAGGAGGAUAGGGUAAGCGCGGUAUUGGAUAUCCGCGUCCAAGCAGUUAGGCUGGGAAAUAGGCAAAUCCGUUUCCCGUGAAGGCUGAGCUGUGAUG
rnacentral:rRNA from 1 species